AUUGAACGCUGGCGGCAUGCCUUACACAUGCAAGUCGAACGGCAGCACGGGUGCUUGCACCUGGUGGCGAGUGGCGAACGGGUGAGUAAUACAUCGGAACGUACCUUAUCGUGGGGGAUAACGCAGCGAAAGCUGUGCUAAUACCGCAUACGCCCUGAGGGGGAAAGCGGGGGAUCGAAAGACCUCGCGCGAUUAGAGCGGCCGAUGCCUGAUUAGCUUGUUGGUGGGGUAAAAGCCCACCAAGGCGACGAUCAGUAGCUGGUCUGAGAGGACGAUCAGCCACACUGGGACUGAGACACGGCCCAGACUCCUACGGGAGGCAGCAGUGGGGAAUUUUGGACAAUGGGGGAAACCCUGAUCCAGCAAUGCCGCGUGAGUGAAGAAGGCCUUCGGGUUGUAAAGCUCUUUUUUCUAGGGAGGAAUAAAAUGACGUGUACCUGAAGAAUAAGCAUCGGCUAACUCCGUAG
rnacentral:rRNA from 1 species